rnacentral:rRNA from 1 species
UACGAGGGGGGCAAGCGUUGUUCGGAAUUAUUGGGCGUAAAGGGCGCGUAGGCGGAUAUUUAAGUUAGAGGUGAAAGCCCAGGGCUCAACCCUGGAAUAGCCUUUAAUACUGGAUAUCUUGAGUUCGGGAGAGGUGAGUGGAAUGCCGAGUGUAGAGGUGAAAUUCGUAGAUAUUCGGCGGAACACCAGUGGCGAAGGCGACUCACUGGCCCGAUACUGACGCUGAUGCGCGAAAGCGUGGGGAGCAAACAGG